rnacentral:pre_miRNA from 1 species
GAACUACUCCCUCCAUUCGGAAUUACUUGUCUCGGAAAUGGAUGUAUCUAGAAUUAAAAUACGUCUAGAUACAUUCAUUUUUGAGAUAAGUAAUUCCGAACGGAGGGAGUACAUA